UGGCUUGCAGAGAUAUGCAGAUUUCAGUUUUUCCAUUUCUCCCUUAAUUUUGUUUUCUUUUGAUUGUUUCAUUUCCCCUUAUAUUACUCAUUAGUGGAUAGGAUGAUAUGAUUAGAGGAGGACAAUGAUGAGAGUUUUGUUCGCUCGUCGUGCGUAAUGGCAAAUUUGCCUUGCCGACCCUUCUUUUUUCUUCUGAGUCCUCUCUCCUCUUCCUCCCUAUCGACUAAUAAUUUCUAUUAGAUCAUUUUCUUUGUGAAAUGCUUAGUGGGUGCUGAUGCAACAUUUUGUGUGGCUCUGUCAUCAAAUAUCAGCUUAUUUUGGACGGAUAACUAAGGAGGUUAGAAUUAAUACAAAUCAUGUAUUGAUUGUAAAAAUUAGAAAAAUUGACUAAAAUUGAUUAAAAAAAAGUCAAAAUUCAGGUUU